GCCAUUUAUUCGGAUGUGUGUGGAGUCUUUGAGGUUUACAUACAACGCGCAACACAUAUCCACUGGGAGGAGCAGUUCAUGGAGUAGCUCAGCUCUUGGUGGAACUGAGGGACCCCGGUGUCACGGAGCGGCCCUGCAAGAGUCUCCCUCCCAUGGUCAAACCCGACACUCUGGUGCAAACGUCGUAAAGUGCCAGUUGCUCAAACAUAAA